rnacentral:rRNA from 1 species
AUAUCAGUCAUGCAUAGCAUAUCAAUAAGCGGAGGAAAAGAAACUAACAAGGAUCCCCUUAGUAACGGCGAGUGAAGCGGGAAGAGCUCAAACUUGAAAUCUUCAAGGUUUUACCUUGACGAAUUGUAGUUUAAAGAAGUGUUUUCUGUUGAAGUUUUGGUAAAAGUUCUUUGGAAUAGGACAUCAUAGAGGGUGAGAAUCCCGUAUUUGACCAUUACUUUCAGCUUUGUGAUACACUUUCAAAGAGUCGGAUUGUUUGGGAAUGCAGUCCAAAAUGGGUGGUAAAUUUCAUCUAAAGCUAAAUAUUGGCGAGAGACCGAUAGCGAACAAGUACCGUGAGGGAAAGAUGAAAAGAACUUUGAAAAGAGAGUUAAACAGUACGUGAAAUUGUCAAAAGGGAAGCGUUUGACACCAGUGUUGUUUUCUCGAAAAUCAAUUAAAAAGAGUUGGAUUUUGUGUUGUAUUGACUUUAUCAGCUUUCUUCACUCUUUUCCAGCUUUUUUUAAUGCACUUUUCGUUUAACAAGUCAACAUCAGUUUCUUUUGUUGUAAAAAGGUCAUUGGAAGGUGGCUUUCUCUUCGGAGAAAGUGUUUAUAGCCUUUGACUCAUGCAAUCGGAGAGACUGAGGUCUGCAGCGUAGAUCCUUCGGGGUUAGAUACAUUUGUGCUAAGUUAUAGCUUUUCAUAGACAACUUGUUGACUAUGUUUAGUCUUGUAGCUUACUCGCUUAUGCUAUUUUACCUACGCUUAGGAUGUUGAACUCUAUCACACACAG